ACUUGCGCACAAUAGCCAUUAUCAUUACGUAAACAAUCUUCAAAUUCUACUUUGUGAUUUCAUUUCAACAUGAUAGCUAUUAUAACCCUAGUUUGUUUCGUCAGCGUUGUCGUUGGAGAUACCGAUUCUACAAAUUGCAGUCUCCCAGCGGAUUGUGAUCGUCUUAAAUGUCCAAUUCCAUCAUGUGCUCUAGGUUCCUUAUACAGUGAAAAUGACCCUUGUGUGUGCUGUCCCAGAUGUUUGGGGAUAAAGAAAGAGGGUGAGAAGUGUGGUGGAAGAUUUUCCGAUGACGUUUGUGACAGUGGCUUGGAAUGUAUAGACGGAAUUUGUCAAUAAAGAUCCUGAUUCACAUUUACGAUUAUCACAGUGACUCAUGAAGCAUUCGAAAAUAAACAGAAUGAUAAAAACAG